CGUAUUUUCGACCUACCGUAGUGUAGUACGAAUGGGGCGACAGGACGUCGCCCCAAGCCGAGGGGGCACAGGACGUGCCCUCCGAGGCGGUUCGUACGGAACAGGCAGGUCGAGUAUACG
rfam:Dethiosulfovibrio salsuginis strain TSBA 82 genome assembly, contig: Ga0105850_111